GAUUUCUGGCUUGAAACAUUUUGCCGGCCACGGUUUCGUGUGUUAGUGCUUGAUGUUCUGGCCAUCCUUCCAAUCGCUAUUGACUAUUCUUCAUUGAUUGGUCAGUGGUAUUGGAUCUUUUACUUUGAAAAAAUUAGAGUGUUUCAAGCAGGCUUUAUGCUAUGAAUACAUUAGCAUGGAAUAAUAAUUUAGGACUUCGGUUCUAUUUUGUUGGUUUCUAGGACUGAAGUAAUGAUUGAUAGGGAUAGUUGGGGGUGCUAGUAUUCAGCGGCCAGAGGUGAAAUUCUCGGAUUCGCUGAAGACUAACUUAUGCGAAAGCAUU
rnacentral:rRNA from 1 species